GGGAUAGCCUUUCGAAAGAAAGAUUAAUAUCCGAUAGCAUAUCAAGAUCGCAUGAUCUUGAUACUAAAGAAUUUCGGUUAUCGAUGGGGAUGCGUUCCAUUAGUUAGUUGGCGGGGUAACGGCCCACCAAGACGACGAUGGAUAGGGGUUCUGAGAGGAAGGUCCCCCACAUUGGAACUGAGACACGGUCCAAACUCCUACGGGAGGCAGCAGUGAGGAAUAUUGGUCAAUGGACGAGAGUCUGAACCAGCCAAGUAGCGUGAAGGAUGACUGCCCUAUGGGUUGUAAACUUCUUUUAUAUGGGAAUAAAACAGGGUAUGCAUACCCUCUUGUAUGUACCAUAUGAAUAAGGAUCGGCUAACUCCGUGCCAGCAGCCGCGGUAAUACGGAGGAUCCGAGCGUUAUCCGGAUUUAUUGGGUUUAAAGGGAGCGUAGGUGGAUUGUUAAGUCAGUUGUGAAAGUUUGCGGCUCAACCGUAAAAUUGCAGUUGAAACUGGCAGUCUUGAGUACAGUAGAGGUGGGCGGAAUUCGUGGUGUAGCGGUGAAAUGCUUAGAUAUCACGAAGAACUCCGAUUGCGAAGGCAGCUCACUGGACUGCAACUGACACUGAUGCUCGAAAGUGUGGGUAUCAAACAGGAUUAGAUACCCUGGUAGUCCACACAGUAAAC
rnacentral:rRNA from 1 species